AUUUCCUCUGUCAUUACCAGAGGUGGGAGUAAGUCACAUAUAUGCAAGUCUCAAGUCCCUGUGUAGAGAAUCAAGAAAGUCGUAUCGAGUCCCUGCUACAAGUCAAGCAAGUC